ACGAAUUGGGUUUCUGGUUGUGUUUGGAUUGAGAGAAAAUGAGAGAAAUUAUAAGCAUACACAUUGGCCAAGCAGGGAUCCAGGUGGGAAAUUCAUGCUGGGAGCUCUAUUGCCUCGAACAUGGCAUUCAACCUGAUGGCAUGAUGCCCAGGUACCCAUUUCUCAAUUUUCAGUUUUUGACGCUUUUUUCUUUUUUUUUUCUUUUAUCUUUUUGGUCUGAAUUGGGUUUGGUAGAGGGUUUUGUGUUUGUUUGGUUUCUUCUUAUUUAAUCCAUGUUUUGAUGUUCUUAAUUGUGGGUUUUUGGGAAAUGUGUUGGGUGUUUUUGAUUGAUUUGUGGGGAUUUUUUUAAGGGUUUGUUGAAUUUAAUCGAGAUUACCAUUUUCUGGGGGAGAUUUCUUUGAUUCGUGUGGUUGAAUUGUGUUUGACUCGGUUAAUUUGCUUGAUCAUCCAUUGGAAAAUGGUGUACUUCAAAGGAGAGGGGGGAGAUUAAGAGAUCUUUAAUUCACUUGCUGUUCUAUAAAUUGAUCACAGAAUGGUAAACUGUUGAACAGAUAACGCCAUGGACUCAGAAGCACACUGUUUUGUCUCUUUCUAUUUGGGUUUGUGGCUCAAACUCAUGGACUGUAUUAUGAUCGAUAUUGAUUCGGCUUUGUGUCUGUAAUGGGCAUGGUACCUUUUUUUUCUCUGUAGUAGUAAAGGGAAGAAUGGGGUAGUGUUAUUUUGUUUAUUGUGGGUCAAUUUUGGAAAUUUUGAUUUCCUUCUACUAUGUAUUUCCUUUCUUGUGUUUGUUUUGUGGGUUGUGGCCUUUUUCUGUUUUUGAAUUCUCAGGAUAUUGGAAGCAGCUUGUUGUUUUGAGGUCAGAUUUGUAGCAGAAAACUUAUGGACUUUAGUGUAUUUGCAGUGAUACUACAGUGGGCGUUGGGCACGAUGCUUUCAACACCUUCUUCAGUGAGACCGGCGCAGGCAAGCAUGUGCCUAGAGCGAUAUUUGUUGAUCUGGAGCCAACUGUCAUUGAUGAAGUCAGGACUGGAACGUACAGGCAGCUGUUCCAUCCUGAGCAACUAAUUUCUGGCAAGGAGGAUGCUGCGAAUAAUUUUGCAAGAGGACAUUAUACAGGUAAGCUUUGAAUUCAUAAAUUGGCAUUUCUUCUGUGUAUAUUUUGAUGGCUUAUGUGGUUUUGGUUGCGUCCUACAGUGGGGAAAGAAAUCGUAGAUCUAUGUCUCGAUCGAGUGAGGAAAUUAGCUGAUAACUGCACUGGCUUGCAAGGGUUUUUGGUGUUCAAUGCUGUUGGUGGUGGCACUGGUUCGGGUCUGGGGUCUUUGUUGUUAGAACGUUUGUCUGUAGACUAUGGAAAGAAGUCAAAGCUUGGGUUCACUAUCUAUCCUUCUCCCCAGGUAUAUAAGUUUCUAAGUUAAGACUGUGAUCCCCAUACCGACAGCAUAAAUUAUGUUGCCAUUAUAAUGAUUAAAAGCAGCAAACAUCCCUAUAUGGUAUCCAUAUUAAAUUUAAAAAGAUGAUGGUUGCCUUUAAUAUGGCCAUUGUCUCUUUUUUGUUUGUUGAAGGUAUCUCUUAACUUAUUAUUAUUAUUGUGAAAUCAAAGGUAAACUUGUUAUUGUUAAAAUGAAAUUAAUUACUUGAAAAAGGAAAACAAACAUGGCUAUUCAAUAUGUGAUUAUAAGCCUUGGUGAUAUCGAACCUGGUUAAAUCUGACAUAUCCUUGCUUGCAGGUCUCUACAGCAGUUGUGGAGCCUUAUAACAGUGUUCUCUCCACUCAUUCCCUCCUCGAACACACAGAUGUAGCUGUGCUCUUGGACAAUGAAGCCAUUUAUGAUAUCUGCCGUAGAUCCUUAGAUAUUGAGAGGCCAACUUACACCAAUUUGAAUCGAUUGAUAUCCCAAAUCAUAUCGUCUUUGACCACUUCCUUAAGGUUUGAUGGAGCCAUUAAUGUGGAUAUCACAGAGUUCCAGACUAAUCUUGUACCAUAUCCUCGUAUACAUUUCAUGCUCUCUUCAUAUGCCCCGGUUAUCUCUGCUGAGAAAGCAUAUCAUGAGCAGCUAUCAGUUCCUGAGAUCACAAAUGCAGUAUUUGAGCCCUCAAGUAUGAUGGCCAAGUGUGAUCCAAGGCAUGGGAAAUACAUGGCAUGCUGCUUGAUGUAUCGUGGAGAUGUCGUUCCCAAGGAUGUUAACGCUGCUGUUGCCACCAUCAAAACCAAACGGACUGUUCAAUUUGUUGACUGGUAAGAAAAAUGCAUUAAUUUGGGCAAAUAAUUGGGAAUAGUUAGUGAGGUUGGAUGAAAAAUGCUAAUAUAUGGAAAUGAUGUUCAAGAUUGUUUAGGGCUUGCUGUUGUUAUUCUUUAAAUAUCAGGGACAUUAUUUUCUGGGAGUGCUGAGGGUAUAUGGUGAAUGGUUUUGGACCAAUAUUUUCAUCUAAGAUGUUUUUAUCAAAUAAGACCAAGUCAACUCUGUCAGGUCAUGCUGGCUUCCCCAUGAUGACAUGGACCUGUUUUUGCUGUGAGUGACAGAAUGGGAAGGGGCCAUCAUUUUGUGAUUGCUUAAGUAGAGCUUAGGUGCAUGAUUCUCUUUCUUCUCAGCCUAAGAAAAACACUAGUCCAGUAAUGGGAGAUAUUGUCUUCAUCGGCAUGGGUUGAGACUUAAACGAUAUUUCAAUAAUGUAGGUAACUUAGAGGAAGAGCCUUUGGUUUUAGAACACUUAUGUAUGUAUGUAUGUAAUUGUGUGUUCACCUUCAAUGUUCCAAAAAAGUGAAUGGUUGGUGACUCUUACUUUAUUGCUGUCAACCUGUAGGUUCAGAGAUUUUUCAGAACUUUAUGGAAGUGAUGAUUGGUGUAGGAUUAGGUCCCAAUCAUCACAAUUUGGUUAGAAUUGUGUUCAUACCCUUCAAGCAUGUGUUCUUUUCUCUCAUCAUCUUUUCCCAGUCUGAAAAACUUUCUUAUUUGGGUUUUGUAGGUGCCCAACUGGCUUCAAAUGUGGUAUUAACUAUCAGCCUCCCACAGUGGUACCUGGGGGUGAUCUUGCUAAGGUGCAGCGAGCUGUGUGCAUGAUCAGCAACAACACAGCAGUGGCUGAGGUGUUCUCGCGCAUUGACCAUAAAUUUGAUCUCAUGUAUGCCAAAAGGGCAUUUGUUCACUGGUAUGUUGGUGAAGGCAUGGAGGAAGGAGAGUUCUCAGAAGCUCGUGAAGAUCUGGCUG
rnacentral:lncRNA from 1 species